rnacentral:rRNA from 1 species
AUUGAACGCUGGCGGCAGGCCUAACACAUGCAAGUCGAGCGGAUGAAGAGAGCUUGCUCUCUGAUUUAGCGGCGGACGGGUGAGUAAUGCCUAGGAAUCUGCCUGGUAGUGGGGGACAACGUUUCGAAAGGAACGCUAAUACCGCAUACGUCCUACGGGAGAAAGUGGGGGAUCUUCGGACCUCACGCUAUCAGAUGAGCCUAGGUACGAUUAGCUAGUUGGUGAGGUAAAGGCUCACCAAGGCGACGAUCGUUAACUGGUCUGAGAGGAUGAUCAGUCACACUGGAACUGAGACACGGUCCAGACUCCUACGGGAGGCAGCAGUGGGGAAUAUUGGACAAUGGGCGAAAGCCUGAUCCAGCCAUGCCGCGUGUGUGAAGAAGGUCUUCGGAUUGUAAAGCACUUUAAGUUGGGAGGAAGGGCAGUAAGUUAAUACCUUGCUGCUUUGACGUUACCGACAGAAUAAGCACCGGCUAACUUCGUGCCAGCAGCCGCAGUAACAC